GGGGCUGACCGGUUUUGACAGUAGGUGUAAUCAUCGGGCUCGCAUGCAGGCUGGAGUAUGUACGGCCUUAAACCAUUCAUACGAACGAUAAAUGGCGAAACUUCUUACGCCAUGGCUGCCUAAUCUCUCCUAACCAGGACUGAUUGCUUAAAGGGUUGAGUCGCGAGAGUGAUUCCCCGGCCACAUCCCUCCGCGUUUUGCCUGAUCGGUGCGGGUUAGGGGUGUCGACUUGAUCGGGAUGCGGCUUGUGAUGCGAUUAAGCAGGUCUAAGACAAAUCGAUAAGCCAAACUCAGGUGUGUCACCCAGCAUAGUUUGGUCGAAAACCCAACAGGUGACUAAGCAUGUAGACGGUACGGUGCUUCCUUAUCUGGACGUGGGUUCGAAUCCCACCAGCUCCACUU
rnacentral:tmRNA from 1 species